rnacentral:pre_miRNA from 1 species
GUUUUCACUCUUCGCAAGCGAACUGAUCAAAACCCACACUCGGUGACGGACGUUUUGUUCGUUUUGCUUGCGAUCAGUGCGAGCGUAC